GACGAACGCUGGCGGCGUGCUUAACACAUGCAAGUCGAACGGAAAGGCCCUGCUUUUGUGGGGUGCUCGAGUGGCGAACGGGUGAGUAACACGUGAGUAACCCGCCCUUGACUUUGGGAUAACUUCAGGAAACUGGGGCUAAUACCGGAUAGGAGCUCCUGCUGCAUGGUGGGGGUUGGAAAGUUUCGGCGGUUGGGGAUGGACUCGCGGCUUAUCAGCUUGUUGGUGGGGUAGUGGCUUACCAAGGCUUUGACGGGUAGCCGGCCUGAGAGGGUGACCGGCCACAUUGGGACUGAGAUACGGCCCAGACUCCUACGGGAGGCAGCAGUGGGGAAUAUUGCACAAUGGGCGGAAGCCUGAUGCAGCAACGCCGCGUGCGGGAUGACGGCCUUCGGGUUGUAAACCGCUUUCGCCUGUGACGAAGCGUGAGUGACGGUAAUGGGUAAAGAAGCACCGGCUAACUACGUGCCAGCAGCCGCGGUGAUACGUAGGGUGCGAGCGUUGUCCGGAUUUAUUGGGCGUAAAGGGCUCGUAGGUGGUUGAUCGCGUCGGAAGUGUAAUCUUGGGGCUUAACCCUGAGCGUGCUUUCGAUACGGGUUGACUUGAGGAAGGUAGGGGAGAAUGGAAUUCCUGGUGGAGCGGUGGAAUGCGCAGAUAUCAGGAGGGACACCAGUGGCGAAGGCGGUUCUCUGGGCCUUUCCUGACGCUGAGGAGCGAAAGCGUGGGGAGCGAACAGGCUUAGAUACCCUGGUAGUCCACGCUGUAAACGGUGGGUACUAGGUGUGGGGUCCAUUCCACGGGUUCCGUGCCGUAGCUAACGCUUUAAGUACCCCGCCUGGGGAGUACGGCCGCAAGGCUAAAACUCAAAGGAAUUGACGGGGCCCCGCACAAGCGGCGGAGCAUGCGGAUUAAUUCGAUGCAACGCGUAGAACCUUACCUGGGUUUGACAUGGGUCGGGAGUGCUCAGAGAUGGGUGUGCCUCUUUUGGGGUCGGUUCACAGGUGGUGCAUGGCUGUCGUCAGCUCGUGUCGUGAGAUGUUGGGUUAAGUCCCGCAACGAGCGCAACCCUUGUUCACUGUUGCCAGCACGUUAUGGUGGGGACUCAGUGGAGACCGCCGGGGUCAACUCGGAGGAAGGUGGGGAUGACGUCAAGUCAUCAUGCCCCUUAUGUCCAGGGCUUCACGCAUGCUACAAUGGCUGGUACAGAGAGUGGCGAGCCUGUGAGGGUGAGCGAAUCUCGGAAAGCCGGUCUCAGUUCGGAUUGGGGUCUGCAACUCGACCUCAUGAAGUCGGAGUCGCUAGUAAUCGCAGAUCAGCAACGCUGCGGUGAAUACGUUCCCGGGGC
rnacentral:rRNA from 1 species